CAGGUAGCUUUGAACACAUGGUAAGGAAAUACAUUCAUCUUUUCACUGAGAACUGCUCACCUAAUUGCUUGGUACAGUCAUGUUCAAUGAUAUGUAGUUGAUUAAAAAAUGACAAAUACUGUGACCAGCUGCCCUUUUGAUGUCAAAUAAUGUGGAAGAUUGAACACCAUGCUGAUCCAUUAGCCAUUUCCAGGAAACAUUGCAGCGUUAUAAGAGAAAUUAUAGACUAUUUGUUGAAGCUCAGCAUGUCCAUCUCCCUGCUUUGAAGAAGGAUGUUGGGAACUGACUGUAAGGAAGACAGGAUUGGAGAACCAGGUUUAGAAGAGAAAAGGCAGUGCCAGAAGUUUUUGAUUGGAGAAAACUACAGGGUAAUGUUGCACAAGAACCAUUGCUGGACCGCCACAUGAUGCUGCUGGAGAGACAGCGGGAAAAGCA
rnacentral:lncRNA from 1 species